GGGAACUCCACCUACUGCCUGUUGACCAAGCAUUAAAUAUUUUGGAGGUUCAAAAGCCUCUGAGCUUGUCAUAAUGGGCUUGCUUUCAGCACUGAGCAAAGAAUUACCCAUCUGGGAUAUCAUUCUCCUCCGGGAAAGGGUCUCCAAUCACCUCUCAUAAGGAGACAUGUCCUGCUGCCUCACUGCGGUGGCCUCAGGGGUAAGGAAUCAGAACCCACCCAGUGUGAAGAAUAAACCUGGACUCUCGGCAACACAGGAAGAAAAAGCCUACAGUACAGAUACCACGGCGACAAGGACUCAAGGCCUCCUAGCGAGAUUACAUCCUUGUCAAAGGUUGGAAAGAGGGAAAGCUCAAACCCACCUGGGAAGGACCUUACCUGGUACUCCUAACAACUGAAAUAGCACUCCGGAAAGCCGAAAAAGGGUGAACCCACCACACAAGUGAAGAAGGCCCCACCUCUGGCAAAGUCAUGGACCAUCACUCCAGGACCAACAGCCUCAAAACUAACAUUCAAACGGGUACAGGAAUCGACCGACUCCUGGAAACAUCACACUCAAGUCAAAGCCUGGAGAGCUGAGGGAGCAACCCCCAACAGCCCAGAGGAAC
rnacentral:lncRNA from 1 species